AACGUAGGAGGCGAGCGUUAUCCGGAUUUACUGGGUGUAAAGCGCGUGCAGGCGGUUGGCUAAGUUGGGUGUGAAAGCUCCUGGCUCAACUGGGAGAGGUCGCUCAAGACUGGCCGACUGGAGAGCAGUAUGGGAAGGUGGAAUUCCGGGUGUAGUGGUGAAAUGCGUAGAUAUCCGGAGGAACACCAGUGGCGAAGGCGGCCUUCUGGACUGCUUCUGACGCUCAGACGCGAAAGCUAGGGGAGCAAACAGG
rnacentral:rRNA from 1 species